rnacentral:rRNA from 1 species
GAUGAACGCUAGCGGCAGGCCUAAUACAUGCAAGUCGAACGGGAUUAAGAGGCUUGCUUCUUAUGAGAGUGGCGCACGGGUGCGUAACACGUAUGCAACCUACCUUCAACUGGGGGAUAGCCUUCCGAAUGGGAGAUUAAUACCGCAUAACAUAAUUGGGUGGCAUCACUUGAUUAUCAAACGUCAGGGGUGAAGAUGGGCAUGCGUCCGAUUAGUUUGAUGGUGAGGUAACGGCACACCAAGACUACGAUCGGUAGGGGAUCUGAGAGGAUGGCCCCCCACACUGGUACUGAGACACGGACCAGACUCCUACGGGAGGCAGCAGUAAGGAAUAUUGGUCAAUGGACGGAAGUCUGAACCAGCCAUGCCGCGUGCAGGAAGACGGUCCUCUGGAUUGUAAACUGCUUUUGUUAGGGAAGAAACUUCCGUACGUGUACGGGACUGACGGUACCUAAAGAAUAAGGAUCGGCUAACUCCGUGCCAGCCGCCGCCGUAACAC